AACCCUUGUCCUUAGUUACCAGCACGUUAUGGUGGGCACUCUAAGGAGACUGCCGGGUGACAACCGGAGGAAGGUGGGGAUGACGUCAAGUCAUCAUGGCCCUUACGGCCUGGGCUACACACGUGCUACAAUGGUCGGUACAAAGGGUUGCCAAGCCGCGAGGUGGAGCUAAUCCCAUAAAACCGAUCGUAGUCCGGAUCGCAGUCUGCAACUCGACUGCGUGAAGUCGGAAUCGCUAGUAAUCGUGAAUCAGAAUGUCACGGUGAAUACGUUCCCGGGCCUU
rnacentral:rRNA from 1 species